rnacentral:misc_RNA from 1 species
GGUUAAUAUGACAGGUGUAACAGGACCAUUUAGUUUCACUUCUGAAAAGGAACUCUUCCGCCCUACUUUUGAAGUCAUUAAUGUGGUUGGUACAGGUUUUAGGAAAGUUGGUUAUUGGUCUGAAUACUCUGGUUUAUCAAUUGUGCCUCCUGAAACACUGUACUCUAAGCCGCCAAAUCGUUCCUCUUCGAAUCAACAGCUACAAAGUAUAAUCUGGCCUGGACAAAUAACGGAAAAACCUCGUGGAUGGGUUUUUCCAAACAAUGGGAGACAACUGAAAAUUGGAGUUCCUAACAGAGCUAGCUUUCGUGAAUUUGUUGGAAAGGUACCAGGCGUCGACUCAUUCAGAGGAUACUGUAUAGAGGUCUUCACUACUGCCAUAGACUUAUUGCCUUAUGCUCUCCCUUACAAGCUAGUUGCCUUUGGGGAUGGUCAUAACAAUCCAGAUGAUACAGAGCUAAUACGCCUAAUCACAGCAGGAGUUUAUGAUGCAG